UAUUGACCUCCACCCCAAGUAUCCCAACCAUCACCCCAAAACUCUCCCAAUUAAGACGAUGACGACCCCAAACUCCCCCAUUUCCACCCAUGAACCCCAAUCCCUCUCAUUAAGACGAUCGCUCAGAUGACCCUAAUUAAGAUGACGGCUUAAUUAAGCCCUGUAAUUACACUAAUGACCCCAAUCUGCCCCAUAAUUUGCAUCCCACCCCAAGUAUCCCAAUGAUGAACCCAAAGCCUCCCAACAAACCAACGACGUCGAAUCCCUCCAAGCCAUCUGUGACCACACAGAUCCCCCCCAAUUAAGCCGUAAUUACCCUCAUUACCCUAAUUAACCGAGCCUCCUUAAUUAGGAGAAUGAACCCACUCUCUCCCAGCAUCAACACCGACCCCAAAUCCCCCUAAUUAAGAAGAUCCCCAAAUGAAACCAACGACCCCAAAGGAUAACGCCGCUUUAAUCCCCAUCAAAUGACCUCCCAGACCCCAAUUAAGCCCUAAUUACCCUCAUUACCCUAAUGAACCCAGGCUCUUUAACUAGAAGAAUGAACCCACUCUCUCCCAGCAUCGACACCGACCCCAAAUCCCCCUAAUUAAGAAGAUCCCAUAAUUAAGAAGGUCCCCAAAUGAAUCCAACGACCCCAGAGGAUAACGCCGCUUUAAUCAAAUCCCCUCCCAGAUCCAUCCCAAUUAAGCCCUAAUUACCCUCAUUACCCUAAUUAACCGAGCCUCUUUAAUUAGGAUAAUGAACCCACUCUCUCCCAGCAUCGACACUGACCCCAAAUCCCCCUAAUUAAGAAGAAAAUCCCAUAAUUAAGAAGGUCCCCAAAUGAAACCAACGACCCCGAAAGGCAACGCCGCUUUAAUCAAAUCCCCUCUCAGAUCCAUCCCAAUUAAGCCCUAAUUACCCUCAUUACACUAAUGAACCCAGCCUCUUUAAUUAGGAUAAUGAACCCACUCUCUCCCAGCGUCGACACCGACCCCAAAUCCCCCUAAUUAAGAAGAAGAUCCCAUAAUUAAGAAGGUCCCCAAAUGAAACCAACGACCCCAAAGGAUAACGCCGCUUUAAUCCCCAUCAAAUCACCUCCCAGACCCCCCAAUUAAGCCCUAAUUACCCUCAUUACCCUAAUGAACCCAGCCCCUCUAAUUAGGAGAAUGAACCCACUCUCUCCCAGUGUCGACACCGACCCCAAAUCACCGACCCCAAAUCCCCAUAAUUAAGAAGAAGAUCCCAUAAUUAAGAAGGUCCCCAAAUGAAUCCAACGACCCCCAUAGGCAACGCCACUCAGACGCCCCCAAUUAAGCCCUAAUUACCCUCAUUACCCUAAUGAACCCAGCCCUUCUAAUUAGGAUAAUGAACCCACUCUCUCCCAGCAUCGACACCGACCCCAAAUCCCCCUAAUUAAGAAGAAGAUCCCAUAAUUAAGAAGGUCCCCAAAUGAAUCCAACGACCCCAGAGGAUAACGCCGCUUUAAUCAAAUCCCCUCCCAGAUCCAUCCCAAUUAAGCCCUAAUUACCCUCAUUACCCUAAUUAACCGAGCCUCUUUAAUUAGGAUAAUGAACCCACUCUCUCCCAGCAUCGACACUGACCCCAAAUCCCCCUAAUUAAGAAGAAAAUCCCAUAAUUAAGAAGGUCCCCAAAUGAAACCAACGACCCCGAAAGGCAACGCCGCUUUAAUCAAAUCCCCUCUCAGAUCCAUCCCAAUUAAGCCCUAAUUACCCUCAUUACACUAAUGAACCCAGCCUCUUUAAUUAGGAUAAUGAACCCACUCUCUCCCAGCGUCGACACCGACCCCAAAUCCCCCUAAUUAAGAAGAAGAUCCCAUAAUUAAGAAGGUCCCCAAAUGAAACCAACGACCCCAAAGGAUAACGCCGCUUUAAUCCCCAUCAAAUCACCUCCCAGACCCCCCAAUUAAGCCCUAAUUACCCUCAUUACCCUAAUGAACCCAGCCCCUCUAAUUAGGAGAAUGAACCCACUCUCUCCCAGUGUCGACACCGACCCCAAAUCACCGACCCCAAAUCCCCAUAAUUAAGAAGAAGAUCCCAUAAUUAAGAAGGUCCCCAAAUGAAUCCAACGACCCCCAUAGGCAACGCCACUCAGACGCCCCCAAUUAAGCCCUAAUUACCCUCAUUACCCUAAUGAACCCAGCCCUUCUAAUUAGGAUAAUGAACCCACUCUCUCCCAGCAUCGACACCGACCCCAAAUCCCCCUAAUUAAGAAGAAGAUCCCAUAAUUAAGAAGGUCCCCAAAUGAAACCAACGACCCCCAAAGGCAACGCUGCUCAGACGCCCCCAAUUAAGCCCUAAUUACCCUCAUUACCCUAAUGAACCCAGCCUCUUUAAUUAGGAUAAUGAACCCACUCUCUCCCAGCGUCAACACCGACCCCAAAUCCCCCUAAUUAAGAAGAAGAUCCCAUAAUUAAGAAGGUCCCCAAAUGAAACCAACGACCCCAAAGGAUAACGCCGCUUUAAUCCCCAUCAAAUCACCUCCCAGACCCCCCAAUUAAGCCCUAAUUACCCUCAUUACCCUAAUUAUUUCCCCCCCCAGCCCCAAUUAACACAAUUAACACCUUAAUUAAUAACAAGCCGAGGCCGAAUCGGCCAAAACCAGGGACACAUUGACGGCGCCGCCUUUACCCGAAGCCUUACCCCUCUAAUUACCUUAACGACCCCAAAUCCCUCUCCUUACAUUCCUGACCCCCAGCUCCUCUAAUUAGGGGCAUCACCCCAAUCCCUCUCAUUAAGACCAUCACUCAGAUGACCCUAAUUAAUAUCAAGGCCUAAUUAAGCCCUCUAAUUACACUAAUGACCCCAAUCUACCCCAUUAUUUGCAUCCACCCCAAGUAUCCCAACCAUGACCCCAAAACUCUCCCAAUUAAGACGAUGACGACCCCAAACUCCCCAAUUUCCACCUGUGAACCCCAAUCCCUCUCAUUAAGACCAUCACUCAGAUGACCCUAAUUAAUAUCAAGGCCUAAUUAAGCCCUCUAAUUACACUAAUGACCCCAGUCUGCCCCAUAAUUUGCAUCUCACCCCACGUACCCCAGUGAUGAACCCAAAGCCUCCCAACAAACCAACGACGUCGAAUCCCUCCAAGCCAUCUGUAACCACACAGAUCCCCCCCAAUUAAGCCGUAAUUACCCUCAUUACACUAAUGAACCCAGCCUCUUUAAUUAGGAUAAUGAACCCACUCUCUCCCAGCGUCGACACCGACCCCAAAUCCCCCUAAUUAAGAAGAUCCCAUAAUUAAGAAGGUCCCCAAAUGAAACCAACGACCCCGAAAGGCAACGCCACUCAGAUGCCCCCAAUUAAGCCCUAAUUACCCUCAUUACCCUAAUGAACCCAGCCUCUUUAAUUAGGAUAAUGAACCCACUCUCUCCCAGCAUCAACACCAACCACAAAUCCCCCUAAUUAAGAAGAUCCCAUAAUUAAGAAGGUCCCCAAAUGAAACCAACGACCCCAAAGGAUAACGCCGCUUUAAUCAAAUCCCCUCCCAGAUCCAUCCCAAUUAAGCCCUAAUUACCCUCAUUACCCUAAUGAACCCAGCCUCUUUAAUUAGGAUAAUGAACCCACUCUCUCCCAGCAUCAACACCGACCCCAAAUCCCCCUAAUUAAGAAGAAGAUCCCAUAAUUAAGAAGGUCCCCAAAUGAAACCAACGACCCCGAAAGGCAACGCCGCUUUAAUCCAAUCCCCUCUCAGAUCCAUCCCAAUUAAGCCCUAAUUACCCUCAUUACCCUAAUUAACCCAGCCCCUUUAAUUAGGAGAUUGAACCCACUCUCUCCCAGCAUCAACACCAACCCCAAAUCCCCAUAAUUAAGAAGAAGAUCCCAUAAUUAAGAAGGUCCCCAAAUGAAACCAACGACCCCAAAGGAUAACGCCGCUUUAAUCCCCAUCAAAUCACCUCCCAGACCCCCCAAUUAAGCCCUAAUUACCCUCAUUACCCUAAUUAACCCAGCCGCUCUAAUUAUAAGAUUGAACCCACUCUCUCCCAGUGUCGACACCGACCCCAAAUCCCCCUAAUUAAGAAGAAGAUCCCAUAAUUAAGAAGGUCCCCAAAUGAAUCCAAGGACCCCGAAAGGCAACGCCACUCAGACGCCCCCAAUUAAGCCCUAAUUACCCUCAUUACCCUAAUGAACCCAGCCUCUUUAAUUAGGAUAAUGAACCCACUCUCUCGCAGCGUCGACACCGACCCCAAAUCCCCCUAAUUAACAAGAAGAUCCCAUAAUUAAGAAGGUCCCCAAAUGAAACCAACGACCCCAAAGGAUAACGCCGCUUUAAUCCCCAUCAAAUCACCU